rnacentral:rRNA from 1 species
AGAAUCAACGCUGGCGGCGUGCCUAACACAUGCAAGUCGAACGAGAAAGGGUAGCAAUACCUGAGUAAAGUGGCGCACGGGUGAGUAACACGUGACUAACCUACCCUGGAGUGGGGGAUAACUGAGGGAAACCUUAGCUAAUACCGCAUAAUACCUACGGGUCAAAGGAGCAAUUCGCUUCAGGAGGGGGUCGCGGCCGAUUAGUUAGUUGGCGGGGUAAUGGCCCACCAAGACGAUGAUCGGUAUCCGGCCUGAGAGGGCGCACGGACACACUGGAACUGAAACACGGUCCAGACUCCUACGGGAGGCAGCAGUGGGGAAUUUUGCGCAAUGGGGGAAACCCUGACGCAGCAACGCCGCGUGGAGGAUGAAGUCCUUCGGGACGUAAACUCCUUUCGAUUCGGGACGAUUAUGACGGUACCGGAAGAAGAAGCCCCGGCUAACUCGUGCCAGCAGCCGC